rnacentral:lncRNA from 1 species
GUUACUGUGUAAUACCGCGUACUUCUGUGGAACAACGCGUAUUACUUUAUUUUUUAUCACCGGGUACUUUAACAGGUACGGUAAAAAUUUUGCCGUCAAUUUUAAAAAUUUAUUUUUGUUUAUUUUUAUAUCCAACGUUUAUUUCGUUUUGGGCUCACUAAUAAUUGGUUAUUUCGGCGCCGUCGUACGAAUAUUCUUCGACAAAAAGAAUAUUACCCGACAAAAUGAAUAUUUUUCGACAGCUGUUUACUUUUUAUAAUUUGUAAUAUCACCCAUAAUUAUAAUAUUUAUUAGAUCAACACUUUACUAUUUAGAAUAACAUUUAAAGAAAAUUAAAUCUUAUUUAUAAAAAGUUGAGUCUUACAAUUUCUCUAAAAAGUUGUUAAGCAAGUCUUUCACUAAGUAAGUAAACACCAUAAGAACUUGAAAGGAAGUUUAGUAAAGAACAAGAGAGCACUUAACAAAUAAUGCUUUAUAUUGUACACAAGAAAGCUUUACAAAAGAGUUUUGGUGAAUGCUUUGGCUAGGAUGACCUUGGAUUGGAUUUCAU